rnacentral:rRNA from 1 species
GUCUCUGGCCACACCACCCUGAACACACCUGAUCUUGUUGGAUCUUGGAAGUUAAGCAGGGUCAGACCUGGUUAGUACUUGGUUGAGAGACUGCCUGGGAAUACCGGUGGUGCUGUAGGCU